UAACUUCUCAGAACUCAUCUCCUACCACUUUACCCCUUGUUCAUCUGCUCCAGCCAUGCUGGCCUCCUUGCUUUUCUUUGAACACGUCUGGUAUAUUCCAUAGAGUCUUUGCAUAUGCUCUUGUGCGACCAUCCACAGGCUGGCUCCCUCAUCUUCAGAUCUUUAUGCAAAUACUUCCUUUCAUUGAGACUUAUUUUGUCUACUCUAUUUAAAUGCAUCUGACCCCUAUUCCCCACCUACACACAUGUCAUAAUGAAUUUUCCUCCUUCAUUUUUCUGAUAGCGUCUGGUUUGGGGUGAAUUGUGUCCCCAAACACAUCUAUUGAAAAUCCUAACCCCCUGUGCCUGUGAAUAUGACCUUAUUUGGAACUAGUGUCUUUGUCCAUUUAAUCAAGUUAAGAUAAGGUCAUGAGGGUAGGCUGUAAGCUAGUAUGACUUAUGCCUUUAUGACAGGAGGAAAACAUCAUAGAAAGACAGAGACACACAGGGAGAAUGAGAAGUGACAACAGAGGCAGGGAUUGGAGUAAUGCAGUUGCAAGCUAAGGAAAGCCAACUAUUGAUGUUCACCACCAGAAACUAGGAAGAGGCAGGAAAGGAGUCUACUCAGAGUUCUAGAGGGAGCAUGGUCUCACUAACACCUUGAUUUCAGACUGCUAGCCUCCAGAUUAUGAGAGAAUGAACUUUUGUUGUUUUAAGCCAGCUAGCUGUAGUACAUUAUUAUGGAAGCUUUGGCAAACUAAUACAGUAUGUAUCACACCUUCUGAUAUACUACAUAUUUUACAUGUUUGUUGUAUUUAUCGUCUGUCUCCCCAACGUGGUAAACUCCAAGGAGGACACACCAUUUCUGGCUCCCUAGUCCAUACUGCUCUGAUCUCUGCUGGGUUCCACUUGAUUUGACUUCUGCCUAGGAUUAAUUGAUCCUAAUACUUCUGGAUGAACCUGCAGAGAAAUUUCAUGAAGAUAUGAACUGAACUCAAAGCAAGAAGUGGAAAUUCUACCUUCUAAGGAUAGUGGAAGAAUAAUCUGGAAUUGUAUAAAAUUUGGAGACAGACUACAGUGCUGUAAAGGAAGUCUUCCAUUUGGACUCCCAGAUAAUACUGCCCAUGUGCCCAGACCACAUAGUAUAAAGGGUUAGGUACUACUAGAAGUUAAGACCAUGAGGAUAGGGAUGUUGAUCUGUUUUUUCAUUACUGAAUCUCCAGUGCCCAGAACAGUGCCUGGCAUAUGCUUUUGAAUUAGAGAGUUUGAACUAGCAAGUGGCCUUUCCUUCUUCUAUCUUGUAUUGGCCCCAAACCUUGCAAUUCUUGACAUUUAUACAAGAGGUGCUCAUCACACCAUUUUAUGAGCUCGAUGCUCUUGAUUGGCACUUCCCCAGAAAAGACCCUCCCUGGCAGGUGCAGAUGGUGUAGAUCCCAGCUUUUCCUCAAACUCUCAGCAUGGCCACACUUCCAGAAUCAGUCUCAUUACCCUCAGACUAUGCACACAAGCUGGGCAAUGGACCUCUUCCGAAGUUUGAGUCUUCACUCAUCAGAGCCACUGUUCCAAGCAUCUGGCUUCUGAAAACCUCAAAUUAUUUUCUUUCUUUCUCCAAUCCUAGAGAUGACAGCAGCUUCUUGCAAUAAUUAGCAUAGUGUUCAUUUUUAGGCGUUUCAGUUCUCCAGCAUCUGUUUAAACAUUUCCCUACAUUAAAAUCUCUUGGUUGAAGUACCUGG